AUAGCCGCAGAUAUUCUGUGCUAAGGUAGCAUAAUCAUUUGUUUUUUAAUUGAAUACUAGAAUGAAAGGUUUAACGUUUUAAUUUCUUUAUUAUUAAUAUAUUUUUAAGUUAUACUAAAUAUAAAAAUAUAUUUAUUAAUAAAAUAGACGACAAGACCCUAUUAAACUUUACUAAUAGUUUAGCUGGGGCAGCUUAUUAAUUAUUAUUUUAACUUAUUAUAUUUAAUAAAUAUUCCAAUAUAAUUGAUUAUAUAAACAAGUUACUAUAGGGAUAACAGCGUAAUAUUAUUUUAAAGUUCAUAUUAAAAAUAAUGUUUGCGACCUCGAUGUUGAAUUAUUAUUUCUAUUUAACGCAAUAGUUAAAAAAGUAGGUCUGUUCGACCUUUAAUAUAUUACAUGAUCUGAUUUCAAACCGG
rnacentral:rRNA from 1 species